UGGUUGGGUGGCCCAUGCUCCGACCUAGGAUUUUUUAGAAAUGGAAAAUAACAUGUGGCGAAAUCAGACACCCUCUCUGUUCCGCCAGGUAUGGCUGGAUUGGCUGCAACGCUCCCUUCACCAGCCGCAGGAGCAUCGCCGCUGCUGCUCCACUGCAACGCCGCCCCUUCCGUCUCCUUCCGCCACCGCAGGCGUUGGCAGCGGCCGGCUGCUACACGGCACGAUGGCCGCGUCGCGCAGCUGUUGCUGCCGGUCGCGCGCCGCUGGCUGCCGGCAGCAGCGCCUCCCGGAGUCAAUGGCGCGCGCGGAGGCAUUGCGGCGUCGGGGUCAGGGGCAGGGGCAGUGGCUGGGGAGGCGCCGUACAGAGGCAACGAGGGGCAGGGGUCGCUGUGGAUGGUCUUCCUCGCCACGGCGGUGGUCGUGUGCGGCUCCUUCGAGUUCGGCACCUGUGUCGGGUAUUCUGCGCCGGCUCAAGCUGGAAUUGUGAGCGACAUUGGGUUGUCCAACUCCGAGUAUGGUGUCUUUGGAUCUGUUUUGACAAUUGGAGCAAUGAUUGGUGCUGUGACUAGCGGCAGCCUGGCAGACAUUCUUGGACGCAAAAUGACCAUGCGAUUUGCAGCAGUUGUAGGCAUUUUUGGCUGGCUUACUGUAUAUUUUGCCAAGGAUGCUAUGAUGCUCUAUGCUGGAAGAGUUUUGCUGGGGUAUUGUACUGGAGUUCUUUCCUAUGUGGUGCCUGUGUAUAUAUCUGAAAUAGCACCAAAGGGUAUCCGAGGAGGCCUUGCAACCUCAAACCAGUUAUUCAUCUGUUCAGGGUGUUCGGCUGCUUACAUUAUUGGAGCACUUGUUUCAUGGCGCUGUUUGGUUGUAGUAGGAUUGAUACCUUGUGCUGUCCUACUUGUUGGGCUUUUCUUCAUUCCAGAGUCUCCAAGGUGGCUGGCCAACAUAGGGAAAGAAAGAGAAUUUCAUGCUUCAUUACAGGAGUUUAGGGGGGAAGAUUCUGACAUUUCUGAAGAGGCUACUGAGAUCAAAGAUUAUAUAAAAUCAGUUCGUCGAUUGCCUAAGGCCAAGAUUCAAGAUUUAUUUCAGAGAAAAAAUAUGUAUGCAGUCACGGUGGGUGUUGGCCUGAUGAUUUUUCAGCAACUGGGAGGAAUUAAUGCCUUAGGUUUCUAUACAAGCUAUAUUUUUUCCUCUGCAGGAUUUUCUGGAAAACUUGGGACCACCUUGAUUGGCGUUAUUCAGAUUCCAAUCACAUUCUUUGGGGCCCUUCUGAUGGAUAGGAGUGGAAGAAGAGCCCUUCUUUUGGUCUCUUCAUCUGGAACAUUUCUUGGCUGCUUUCUGACUGGACUAUCAUUCUAUUUUAAGAAGCAAGGCAAAUUUUCAAAGAUUCUUGUUCGGUUCAGAUCUACAGUAUCCAGGCCUGUAUUCCAAAAGAUACAGCUAUACUUUGGAAUCAUGAAUUUGUGCAGGCAGAGGAGCUUUUCAAUCAGCCUUUUGAUUAUGAGAACUGUUUGAGAGAUAAUAGGUUUUGUGGUGUUUUGAAUUCUUUUGUCAAGCGAACAUCCAAUGGAAAGCAUGUGAGUUCAUUGCCACCAAAGCCCUUGAAUAGUGCUGCAGCCGCCGCAUAGUCUAAGCCUAGUGUUACUCCAAAGGAGCAGUUUGUUACUGCUCGGCGGCAAGAUUUGCCUGUAAGUUCAAAGCAGGGAGCAGACACUAAGUCCGAGAAGGAUAAUUCCACAAUAUUAGAUAAGGCUGGCAAUGGUCCUGUUGACAAAGAACAAUCAGUUGAUGCCUAUGCAAGCAAAAGUAAAGCUCAAAAUGGAAAGGCCAUGCCUAGUAAUGGUGGAUCGCUGGCUAACAUGUGGGGUCGUGCAUCAGCAAAACCUAUGCCUCCAAGUACCACUAAUUCUACAGCUGUAGCAAGUGUUGCAGGAAGAAGCAGAUGGAAAUAGCAGCGAUGAUGAACAUGGGAUAAACUACAAGAGGGGAUCCACUAAUGCAAAUAACAGAAAGAGAACAGUGGUAUUUGAUUAUUCGGAUGAUGAGGAAGAUGACAAUAUUGCACAAGGACUGUGCACACAGCUGGUUCCUACUUUGGCUCUUUGUGGCAUACUGGUAUACUAUGCGGCGUACUCAGUUGGAAUGGGCCCAGUUCCUUGGGUUAUCAUGUCAGAGAUAUUCUCAAUCGACAUGAAAGCAAUCGCCGGAGGGUUUGUAACCCUGGCCAGUUGGAUUGGUUCCUUUGCGAUUUCAUACUCAUUCAACUUCCUCAUGGAUUGGAACCCCGCAGGCACAUUCUUUCUGUUCUCUGCAGCGAGCCUGGUCACUGUGCUGUUCGUGGCAAAGCUCGUGCCUGAAACUAAAGGAAGAACACUAGAAGAGAUCCAAACAUUGCUCAAAGCCACAUGAGUGGCUUCCAUUCGCUCAGUAGGUAAAGAUCCAGUUAAAAAAAUGCUGUAAAUAUUCGCCUCUUGUAAAUUAUUGUGCAUGGCAGGUGAAUGAUUUCGCCUCUUGUCGAUUCUCCUAUAUUUUAGUCUCUUUGAUAUAUGUUAUUUAGGACAAAGAUACGGUCUACAACAUAUGCUUAUCUUCAACUAUUUCAUUUUCUGA